rnacentral:rRNA from 1 species
UGCAGUCGACGGUAACGCGGGGCAACCUGGCGACGAGUGGCGAACGGGUGAGUAAUAUAUCGGAACGUGCCCAGUAGUGGGGGAUAGCCCGGCGAAAGCCGGAUUAAUACCGCAUACGACCUAAGGGUGAAAGCGGGGGAUCGCAAGACCUCGCGCUAUUGGAGCGGCCGAUAUCAGAUUAGCUAGUUGGUGGGGUAAAAGCCUACCAAGGCGACGAUCUGUAGCUGGUCUGAGAGGACGACCAGCCACACUGGGACUGAGACACGGCCCAGACUCCUACGGGAGGCAGCAGUGGGGAAUUUUGGACAAUGGACGCAAGUCUGAUCCAGCCAUGCCGCGUGCGGGAAGAAGGCCUUCGGGUUGUAAACCGCUUUUGUCAGGGAAGAAAUCCUUUGAGCUAAUACCUCGGGGGGAUGACGGUACCUGAAGAAUAAGCACCGGCUAACUACGUGCCAGCAGCCGCGGUAAUACGUAGGGUGCGAGCGUUAAUCGGAAUUACUGGGCGUAAAGCGUGCGCAGGCGGUUAUGCAAGACAGAUGUGAAAUCCCCGGGCUCAACCUGGGAACUGCAUUUGUGACUGCAUAGCUGGAGUGCGGCAGAGGGGGAUGGAAUUCCGCGUGUAGCAGUGAAAUGCGUAGAUAUGCGGAGGAACACCGAUGGCGAAGGCAAUCCCCUGGGCCUGCAACUGACCCCUCAUGCAACGAAAGCGGUGGGGGAAGCAAACAGGAAUAAAAUACCUGUAGUCCACGCCCUUAACCGAUUGUCCAACUGG